UGCAAGUCGAACGGGGGUCCAUGGGAGCUUGCUCCCAGAAGACCUAGUGGCGAACGGGUGAGUAACACGUGAGAAACCUGCCCCGGAGUGGGGAAUAACUCGAGGAAACUCGAGCUAAUACCGCAUACCCUCAGAUGGUCGCAUGGCCGACUGAGGAAAGAAUUUCGCUCUGGGAGGGUCUCGCGGCCUAUCAGCUAGUUGGUGGGGUAACGGCCUACCAAGGCAGCGACGGGUAGCUGGUUUGAGAGAACGAUCAGCCACACUGGGACUGAGACACGGCCCAGACUCCUACGGGAGGCAGCAGUGGGGAAUCUUGCGCAAUGGGCGAAAGCCUGACGCAGCAACGCCGCGUGCGGGAUGACGGCCUUCGUGGUUGUAAACCGCUUUCAGCAGGGACGAAAAUGACGGUACCUGCAGAAGAAGCUCCGGCUAACUACGUGCCAGCAGCCGCGGUAAUACGUAGGGGGCGAGCGUUGUCCGGAUUCAUUGGGCGUAAAGAGCUCGUAGGCGGUUCAGUAAGUCAGGUGUGAAAGCUCCGAGCUCAA
rnacentral:rRNA from 1 species